CUACACCCCGACUUCAUCCCAGUGAGGAGGACGUCGGACUUCUGGCCUCCAGAGCUGUGAGAAAAUACAUUUGAGAUGUUCAAGCUGCCCAAUGUCUGGUCAUUUGUUACAAAAGAUAUGGAAAAUCAACGCACCAGUAACUGGAGAAAAUUGAUCACGACUGAAAGGCAGUGGGCAAAACGUACUGUUGUAGGUCAGCCCAGACCAGAAACUGUAAGUCUAUCAAACAGGCGGAGAAAAGCGGCCACCGUUUUAUUCCUCAAGAAUUGCACAGUGUUUAUUUAAGUCAGCAACCCUGUGGAGCAGAUUUAAAUUUUAUACAAUUUCUAGACAUACGGCAUGCACCCACACGUGUAUAAUCAUCAUGCAUGCAUUAUGUAUGCAUAUGUGUGGAGGGACAUAUGCCAGUGUACGUGUGGGUGGGUACAAUGAGAAAAGAUACAGGGUCUUUAAUUAUGGAAUUAUCCAAGUUUCUAUUCUUCUCAGAAAUCACCAUAAUGUUUUGGGAAUUCUCCCAGACUGCUUCUUGCACUGAAAGUUGUUCAAAAUUCUGUUAGAAAUUCUCUAUAUUUUGUCUAAAAAUAUGCUUCCCAUAUUGAUGUGAUACAAGUGAGGAAGAAAUUACAAAAUAUUCACUGAGUAAAAUAGCAAUUUAAAUGCAUUGAAUUAAAUUGAGGACCUGAAAACCUAAACACAAUUUUUCCAUUGCUUGGUUUAUGUGAAACUGGACCUGGAGGUUUUUGUUUUGUUUUUUCCUUCCCCGCCAAAGGAGGAGAGGGUUCAGCUUGGUGCAUUGGAAAAGUUUUGUAAAAUUAUGUCUUAAUGGUUUCUGUCAGAUUUGGAAAGAAUCAUUGGCAGUCUAGGGAAAAGUGGAUUUACACAAGGUACCGAAAUUACCAGGUGAUAGAGAAGACGUUUAAAUUUGUGGGCCCUCACUCUGAGUUGAGGAAGGGGCCCCUGGUGUUUUUACGACGCACACUUUCUUACUGCUGUACCUGCUGUGGAAUCUAGUGAGAUUCUAAGUAGUCCUAUUUAAUUGUGAGUCAAUAGUGACUUGCUGGGUGCGGUGGCGACUCCCACGGCGGAUGGCUGGGUCGAGAGCACAUCUUUAUUUUCUCUCUAGAUCAUUCUUCUUCCUAUUUUGAUUUGAGAAAGGGAACGUGAGAAUUAGGUCAACCAGAGUGUUUUCCCAGGUGUUGAAAGGCUCAGGGUGCUCGCCCACAUCAGUGAGGGAGGUGCAGCUGAUGAAGGAAGUGCUGGGUGCAGAAGGGGAUGCUCUGAAAUGGUGGCUUCUGUUUGCAGUUUCAAAGCUCAG
rnacentral:lncRNA from 1 species